rnacentral:tRNA from 1 species
UAUCAAAGUGGCAGAAAUAUGCGUCAAAUUUAAGCUUUGGAGAUGGGUGAAUCCCUUUGAUAU